AAUAUUGGACAAUGGGGGAAACCCUGAUCCAGCAAUGCCGCGUGGGUGAAGAAGGCCUGCGUGUUGUAAAGCCCUCUCGUCCGGGCAGAAAAGCGCUUGGCUAAUACCCUGGUGCCUGGACGUUCCCGGACGAAGAAGCACCGGCUACCUCCGUGCCAGCAGCCGCGGUAAUACGGAGGGUGCGAGCGUUAAUCGGAAUUCAUGGUUGUAGAGCGCGCGUAGGCGGUUGUGGAAGUCGGGUGUGAAAGCCCCGGGCUUAACCUGGGAAUUGCAUUCGAUACUCCAUGGCUAGAGUCUGGGAGAGGGAAGGGGAAUUCCGGGUGUAGCGGUGAAAUGCGUAGAUAUCCGGAGGAACACCGGUGGCGAAGGCGCCUUCCUGGCCUAAGACUGACGCUGAGGUGCGAAAGCGUGGGGAGCAAACAGG
rnacentral:rRNA from 1 species